UCGCACGGUGCAGCGAGAGCUUGCUCUCGUGGAUCAGUGGCGAACGGGUGAGUAACACGUGAGUAACCUGCCCCAGACUCUGGGAUAAGCCUUGGAAACGAGGUCUAAUACCGGAUACGAGACAAGACCGCAUGGUCAUUGUCUGGAAAGAAUUUCGGUCUGGGAUGGACUCGCGGCCUAUCAGCUUGUUGGUGAGGUAAUGGCUCACCAAGGCGACGACGGGUAGCCGGCCUGAGAGGGCGACCGGCCACACUGGAACUGAGACACGGUCCAGACUCCUACGGGAGGCAGCAGUGGGGAAUAUUGCACAAUGGGCGCAAGCCUGAUGCAGCGACGCCGCGUGGGGGAUGAAGGCCUUCGGGUUGUAAACCCCUUUCAGUAGGGAAGAAGCGAAAGUGACGGUACCUACAGAAGAAGCGCCGGCUAACUACGUGGCCAGCAGCCGCGGUAAUACGUAGGGCGCAAGCGUUGUCCGGGAAUUAUUGGGCGUAAAGAGCUCGUAGGCGGUUUGUCGCGUCUGCUGUGAAAUCCUGAGGCUCAACCUCGGGACUGCAGUGGGUACGGGCAGACUAGAGUGUGGUAGGGGAGACUGGAAUUCCUGGUGUAGCGGUGGAAUGCGCAGAUAUCAGGAGGAACACCAAUGGCGAAGGCAGGUCUCUGGGCCACUACUGACGCUGAGGAGCGAAAGCAUGGGGAGCGAACAGGAUUAGAUACCCUGGUAGUCCAUGCCGUAAACGGUGGGCACUAGAUGUGGGGCUCUUUCCAUGAGUUCCGCGUCGCAGCUAACGCAUUAAGUGCCCCGCCUGGGGAGUACGGCCGCAAGGCUAAAACUCAAAGGAAUUGACGGGGGCCCGCACAAGCGGCGGGAGCAUGCGGAUUAAUUCGAUGCAACGCGAAGAACCUUACCAAGGCUUGACAUAUACCCUUUUAUCCCUAGAGAUAGGGAGUCCUUUCGGGGGGGGUUAUACAGGUUGGUUGCAUGAUUGUCGGUCAGCUCGUGUCGUGAGAUGUUGGGUUAAGUCCCGCAACGAGCGCAACCCUCGUCCUAUGUUGCCAGCACGUAAUGGUGGGGACUCAUAGGAGACUGCCGGGGUCAACUCGGAGGAAGGUGGGGAUGACGUCAAAUCAUCAUGCCCCUUAUGUCUUGGGCUUCACGCAUGCUACAAUGGCCGGUACAAAGGGCUGCAAUACCGCAAGGUGGAGCGAAUCCCAAAAAGCCGGUCUCAGUUCGGAUUGAGGUCUGCAACUCGACCUCAUGAAGUUGGAGUCGCUAGUAAUCGCAGAUCAGCAACGCUGCGGUGAAUACGUUCCCGGGCCUUGUACACACCGCCCGUCAAGUCACGAAAGU
rnacentral:rRNA from 1 species